GAUGAACGCUAGCGGCAGGCUUAACACAUGCAAGUCGAGGGGUAGAGGCUUUCGGGCUUUGAGACCGGCGCACGGGUGCGUAACGCGUAUGCAAUCUGCCUUGUACUGGGGGAUAGCCCCGAGAAAUUUGGAUUAAUACCCCAUAGUAUUUUCGGUUGGCAUCAGCUGAUUAUUAAAGUUUUUGGGUACAAGAUGAGCAUGCGUCCCAUUAGCUAUGUGGUAUGGUAACGGCAUACCAAAGCUACGGUGGGUAGGGGUCCUGUGAGGGAGAUCCCCCACACUGGUACUGAGACACGGACCAGACUCCUACGGGAGGCAGCAGUGAGGAAUAUUGGUCAAUGGUCGCAAGACUGAACCAGCCAUGCCGCGUGCAGGAUGAAGCAUCUAUGGUGUGUAAACUGCUUUUGUACGGGAAGAAACACUCCUACGAGUAGGAGCUUGACGGUACCGUAAGAAUAAGGAUCGGCUAACUCCGUGCCAGCCGCCGCGGUAACAC
rnacentral:rRNA from 1 species